GGCCGCGGGAAUUCGAUUCAGGCCUAACACAUGCAAGUCGAGCGGUAGAGAGAAGCUUGCUUCUCUUGAGAGCGGCGGACGGGUGAGUAGUGCCUAGGAAUCUGCCUGGUAGUGGGGGAUAACGUUCGGAAACGGACGCUAAUACCGCAUACGUCCUACGGGAGAAAGCAGGGGACCUUCGGGCCUUGCGCUAUCAGAUGAGCCUAGGUCGGAUUAGCUAGUUGGUGAGGUAAUGGCUCACCAAGGCCACGAUCCGUAACUGGUCUGAGAGGAUGAUCAGUCACACUGGAACUGAGACACGGUCCAGACUCCUACGGGAGGCAGCAGUGGGGAAUAUUGGACAAUGGGCGAAAGCCUGAUCCAGCCAGGCCGCGUGUGUGAAGAAGGUCUUCGGAUUGUAAAGCAAAAGAAGUUGGGGGAAGGGCAUUAACCUAAUACGUUAGUGUU
rnacentral:rRNA from 1 species